GUGUCAACAAAUACAGAUGUUUCCCUUCAUAUGAUGAAAAUCUAGGGAUCCAAACUUAUUUGAAAAGCUAAAGAGGCACCAUUCAUCCCCACUGGAAUGGCAGGUUUUGCAGCAAUUGUUGCAUAUGUAUUAUACAAACUGAAGAGCAGGGGAAAUACUAAAAUGUUGCAUCAUCUGAUCCACAUGUGUGUGGCAGCCCAAGGCUUUGUUGAAGGAGCAAUGACUGUUGGUAUGGGCUAUCAUUCCAUGUAUCGGGAAUUCUGGGCAAAACCUACACCG
rnacentral:lncRNA from 1 species